CCAUAGCCCCGAUAGCAGCGACAUCCUUUUCCUUUUUCUUAAAAAGAAAAAAAUAUAAUCCUUUGACAAGCUCAGGAUAAACUACUAGCGGGAUAAGCU
rnacentral:sRNA from 1 species